UACUCCGUAGUCCAAUGGUAAGACACCCGAUUCUGGAUCGGGCGAUCUUGGUUCGAGUCCAGGCGGGGUAGC
rnacentral:tRNA from 4 species